UACGGGGGGUGCGAGCGUUGUCCGGAAUCACUGGGCGUAAAGGGCGCGUAGGUGGCGUGAUAAGGGUGUGGUGAAAGCCCGGGGCUCAACCCCGGGUCUGCCAUGCCGACUGUCAGGCUAGAGUACUGUAGGGGCAGGCGGAGUUCCGGGUGUAGCGGUGGAAUGCGUAGAGAUCCGGAGGAAGACCGGUGGCGAAGGCGGCCUGCUGGGCAGUUACUGACACUGAUGCGCGACAGCGUGGGGAGCAAACAGG
rnacentral:rRNA from 1 species